rnacentral:rRNA from 1 species
UACGUAGGGCGCAAGCGUUAUCCGGAAUUAUUGGGCGUAAAGAGCUCGUAGGCGGUUUGUCGCGUCUGCCGUGAAAGUCCGGGGCUCAACUCCGGAUCUGCGGUGGGUACGGGCAGACUAGAGUGAUGUAGGGGAGACUGGAAUUCCUGGUGUAGCGGUGAAAUGCGCAGAUAUCAGGAGGAACACCGAUGGCGAAGGCAGGUCUCUGGGCUGUUACUGACGCUGAGGAGCGAAAGCAUGGGGAGCGAACAGG